GCCCCACUGACGUCAUAUGGGUGAUUUCGGUCAUAUGGGUAGGGGCGGCUUAAAAUUCCGCCGAGCAGUGUGCUGAGAUCGGCAGCGAUGUGCAUUUUUAAAACCUUAUAAUACAUUACACGCUUUACGCAGAGCACUUAGAUGUGUCAAUUAAUGAUCAGAAUGACCUACUCUAACGACUCAGUACGUUUGUAGAAAAUAGUCAAAAUCGUUUCAGGGCCCCUUUAAUACGUAACGCUUCACUUAAAUUGUGGUGCGAAUGUUCUACUUAAGCUGUACCCUACGCGUCUACAUGAUUUGUCCGAACCGUUUCAGGGGCCCUUCAAUCGGAAAUGAAAUCGUAUGUGCCGCCGGAAAAAUCGUCGGCAUAUAUUGCGUGUGUUGGCUGAAGUCCUUUUUGCAGUUUUCCACAAAAUAUUUGCUAUAAGUGCGUGUUGUCUCUAUUGGCAACCACAGACUUCCAUCGGCACUGUACUGAAGUAUGCAAAUUAUAUCGCCACAUGGCACAAAUAUGAUAAGCGUACACAACUUUAAUUAGUACAUGCCCUAUAACAUAGAAUAGAGGCGGCAGCGUAAAUAGCUUGGCAAUAUUUUAACGGUGGCCAAGAGACAGGAGUUGAAUCAUUUCUGCUUCGGCAAUGCAAAAACGACGAACAUCCGUUUGUGUACCUUCCAGUAACUCAAAUGAGUGGUGCAGUGGUGAUGCAGGUAUGAACUCCUGUCAUGGUCAAUGCAUCCCACACAUAUUCAAUUUCUCGGCAUGCAUUAACUUUGACCACUGCUAGCGCAUGCAACAGAAGUUGUUUCCAUUCUUGGGCAAUGCACAUAAACGAAAGACGAGAAACAAGACAGAACAAGCAUUCAACUGAAAGUUGUCAUUUGAAGAAAAUGAUUAUAUACCCAGUAAUCAUGAAAUUCUUGUGGAUUACAUGUAAAAAACAUCAUACACUCACGAGCGAUCAAUGAACGAGAUCGCUUCAUUUGCCAGUUGUUUGCUUACUUUGUUUGGCACGCCGCAGUAAUCCAUGUAUGUAGUCUGCUUUUUCCAUGCCAUUUUCUUGGAACAGGUAGAAUUUCACUGGUGGCAUUAACCCUUUCAUGUUUACCUUGCUGUUGUGGCAGCUGAUAAAGCAAAAGUAAUUUCCAGUCUUCUGAAGAGGUGCCAUAGCAAACAAGAGACUUUACGCACGCAGCGCAAGCUAAGCGCGAGCGCAGAGGAGGCGCUGGCGAGCACGACCUUGAAGGCAAGCGACGUAAAGCUACACCUGUGGGAGGUGAAAUCGUUCCGCCAGGGGAGAAAUGAGCGCUGGCGUCUAGGAUGAAACUUGAUGUUGGGACGUCUAUUCCAGUGCGAUGCUGCUGUAGUCGGGUACAACUUUAGAAAGAAGGGGAGGCCUCGCCCAGAUGACCGAAUGAUGCUUCGUGACAUCGGCUGUAUUGCGUGUUUUUGCCGACGGCUUACUACCACAAUGACGGGAUCUGCGUUCGCCGCCUUCGUGUCUCGGUGCGUCUUUGUACGUCGCAUGUUCGGAUAGCACUUUUUCCGACGGCUGGACAUCCUUCUUGUACUACCUUGGCGCUAGCUGGAUGACGGGACCUCAUCAUGAUCAGUGUGUUGCUUGCCUAUGUCUACAAGAACCGUCACACGUGGCCUGUGACAGCAAGCUUUUGUGGGCAGCAAGUGCUCUCCUACGAAGGCUGGCCUACUCUGGCAGCGGCGGCAAUCAUCUUCAAGAUUUAUCCAUGAUCACCUUUGCUGCUAUUUCUCACUCUUGUUAAUUACACUUCCUGCAUCUUUUCUAAUUUAUUAGGUAAUAAAGUAUGAGUAUGUGACAUGGUGUGAAGUUGAUGUCUUGCUGCAUUUUCACUUGCAAUCAUCUUUUAUGCAUGAAAAGCUCAUCGUACAGUUUAUGAAAAGAAAUAACAGCAUAUUAUGAUUUAUCUUUCAGUUCUGGUAACGUGCAACAUACAAGGAAUUCACUAAUGGAUGGUAUGCCGAAGAACUGGCCAUUAUUUCUGCGUGAUGCUGUGCAUGCAUGUGGCAUUACCUUACAAGAGGCACCCACAAAGUAAGUUACAAUUUACUUUUAAAUGAAGCAUGGACAUCCGAAAAAAUAUAUUUAUAUUGCUAGUUAGAGUGGUUCGCAGAGUGUUUUCCAGAUGUGUACUAUCCUUUAUUUCUUAACUCAUUGUAGCACAGUGUUGUUUCGUAUACUGGUGUACGGCUAUUGUGCCCCCUGUAGCUGAAACCAGAAUGUAAUUUUUGCCUGAACUGCAGCAUCACUGACAAAAUUUUUCUUUGCUAGAAACUAUUUCAAUUUGGUGGAGACCCAACAGGGCGAAGUUUUGUCAGUAAUGACGUGUUUCACGCAGAGAUGUUCUUGUUUAGGUCAAUGGGUGAAUAUUGGUAUUAUAUCAGCAUACAAUACAGAUCUUGUUUUAUUUGCAAAAUAAUUCUGACAGGCGGCAUUCAAUUGAUUGGUCUAAUUAAAAAGCACUAAUUGACCAAUGAGGCUGUACUACACUAUUCCCAUGGUUCACAUCUGGAAAAACUAUCUGUGCAUCACUCUAUCCGACAAUAUAAACUUUUUUUUUCUGAUGUCCAUGCCUCGUUUAAAAUAAACUGUAACUGUGGGCAAACAUCGUGUUACUGUAACAGCUGCCGCAAAAAUUUUAGGGAACGUCUAGUAAAAGUCUUCAGUUGUUCUUGUCAAGCUGUCCAUUAGCCAACUUUUAGCGUAACGUUAGCAGGGCUUACUGAAGUACUUCUAGGCGUCCAUGGCUACAAAAUGUCUUGAUCAAGACAGCUACUAGGCUUUUGAAUUAGCCGUUUAAGACAUCUUUUA